UACGGGGGGGGCAAGCGUUGUUCGGAAUUACUGGGCGUAAAGGGCUCGUAGGCGGCCAACUAAGUCAGACGUGAAAUCCCUCGGCUUAACCGGGGAACUGCAUCUGAUACUGGAUGGCUUGAGUUCGGGAGAGGGAUGCGGAAUUCCAGGUGUAGCGGUGAAAUGCGUAGAUAUCUGGAGGAACACCGGUGGCGAAGGCGGCAUCCUGGACCGAGAUUGACGCUGAGGCGCGAAAGCCAGGGGAGCAAACGGG
rnacentral:rRNA from 1 species